ensembl:lncRNA
CAGGAGGGGAGGAACAGAACACCGAGGAUGGCAGUUGGUGGACUCUGGUUGAGAGAGAGACUGCUUUGGCUAUAGCAGUCAAGAUACCCAGAGGGUAGCUGUUUGGUAUUUCUGGGGUGGACUCAGAAAAGCCAUUGGUUCCUUCUCUUUGGCUGUCUUGAUAUUUCUUCCUGUUCCUACUGCUGAUGCUAUAGAUAGAUAAAGUGGAUUUCUACUGGUGCUGGUGACAUCUCUCUGAGACUGCUGUCUGGAGCAAAGAUGGACUCUUGGUCCACUGUUCAAGACCCUGUUCCACACAACUGGGAGGAUCAGAAGAAGACUCAUGGCAUCCCCCAGCUCUGAAGGGGGUUUCAGGAAGGAGUUGAGUCAGAUGGUCUCUCAGGACCCUUUUAGGUCUAGAUUCAUGACCCU